UACGUAGGGGGCAAGCGUUGUCCGGAGUUACUGGGCGUAAAGCGCACGCAGGCGGUCUGCUAAGUUUGGAGUGACAGUUGGUGGCUUAACUGCCAAAGUGCUUCGAAAACUGACAGACUUGAGGGCUUCAGAGGGACACGGAAUUCCGGGUGGAGUGGUGAAAUGCGUAGAGAUCCGGAGGAACACCAGUGGCGAAAGCGGCCACCUGGACUGCACCUGACGCUGAAACGCGAAAGCUAGGGGAGCGAACGGG
rnacentral:rRNA from 1 species